GGGGCUCACACAAGCGGUGGAGCAUGUGGCUUAAUUCGAAGCAACGCGAAGAACCUUAUCCUAGGUUUGACAUACACGGAUUAGCUAUAAGAAACUAUAGUGACACCUUCGGGUGGAACGUGAACAGGUGCUGCAUGGCUGUCGUCAGCUCGUGCUGUGAAGUGUCGGGUUAAGUCCCUUAACGAGCGCAACCCUUAUCGUUAGUUGCCAGCGCGUAAUGGCGGGGACUCUAGCGAGACUGCCGGUGUUAAACCGGAGGAAGGUGGGGAUGACGUCAAGUCCGCAUGGCCUUUAUGCCUAGGGCUGCACACGUGCUACAAUGGCAAGUACAGAACGAAGCAAUACCGCGAGGUGGAGCAAAUCGCGAAAACUUGCCCCAGUUCAGAUUGCAGGCUGCAACUCGCCUGCAUGAAGUUGGAAUCGCUAGUAAUCGCGGAUCAGCAUG
rnacentral:rRNA from 1 species